GCCUCCCUCUUUCUUCGUGCUUAACACAUGCAAGUCGAACGGAAAGGCCCUGCUUGCAGGGUACUCGAGUGGCGAACGGGUGAGUAACACGUGGGUGAUCUGCCCUGCACUUCGGGAUAAGCCUGGGAAACUGGGUCUAAUACCGGAUAGGAGCCAUUUUUAGUGUGAUGGUUGGAAAGUUUUUUCGGUGUAGGAUGAGCUCGCGGCCUAUCAGCUUGUUGGUGGGGUAAUGGCCUACCAAGGCGGCGACGGGUAGCCGGCCUGAGAGGGUGGACGGCCACAUUGGGACUGAGAUACGGCCCAGACUCCUACGGGAGGCAGCAGUGGGGAAUAUUGCACAAUGGGCGCAAGCCUGAUGCAGCGACGCCGCGUGGGGGAUGACGGCCUUCGGGUUGUAAACUCCUUUCGCUAGGGACGAAGCUUUUUGUGACGGUACCUAGAUAAGAAGCACCGGCUAACUACGUG
rnacentral:rRNA from 1 species